rnacentral:rRNA from 1 species
GUUGAUAAGGUUAAGUGAAUAAGGGCGCACGGUGGAUGCCUUGGCACUAGGAGCCGAUGAAGGACGGGACUAACACCGAUAUGCUUUGGGGAGCUGUACGUAAGCUAUGAUCCAGAGAUUUCCGAAUGGGGGAACCCAGCAUCUUUAAUAGGAUGUUACGAUUGUGUGAAUACAUAGCACAUUCGAGGUAGACGCAGAGAACUGAAACAUCUAAGUACCUGCAGGAAGAGAAAGAAAAUUCGAUUCCCUGAGUAGCGGCGAGCGAAACGGGAAAAGCCCAAACCAACAAGCUUGCUUGUUGGGGUUGUAGGACUCCAAUAUGGUCGUUCUUUCAGAUAGUCGAAUGACUUGGAAAAGUCAGUCAAAGAGGGUAAAAACCCCGUAGACGAAAUGUGGAAGACACCUAGGAGGAUCCUGAGUACGGCGGAACACGAGAAAUUCCGUCGGAAUCCGGGAGGACCAUCUCCCAAGGCUAAAUACUCCCUAGUGACCGAUAGUGAACCAGUACCGUGAGGGAAAGGUGAAAAGCACCCCGGAAGGGGAGUGAAAUAGAACCUGAAACCGUGUGCCUACAACAAGUCAAAGCCCGUUAAUGGGUGAUGGCGUGCCUUUUGUAGAAUGAACCGGCGAGUUACGAUUGCAUGCGAGGUUAAGUUGAAGAGACGGAGCCGCAGCGAAAGCGAGUCUGAAUAGGGCGUUUGAGUAUGUAGUCGUAGACCCGAAACCAUGUGAUCUACCCAUGUCCAGGUUGAAGGUGCGGUAAAACGCACUGGAGGACCGAACCCACGUACGUUGAAAAGUGCGGGGAUGAGGUGUGGGUAGCGGAGAAAUUCCAAACGAACUUGGAGAUAGCUGGUUCUCUCCGAAAUAGCUUUAGGGCUAGCCUCGGAAUUGAGAAUGAUGGAGGUAGAGCACUGUUUGGACUAGGGGCCCAUCUCGGGUUACCGAAUUCAGAUAAACUCCGAAUGCCAUUCAUUCAUAUCCGGGAGUCAGACUGUGAGUGAUAAGAUCCAUAGUCGAAAGGGAAACAGCCCAGACCACCAGCUAAGGUCCCAAAAUAUAUGUUAAGUGGAAAAGGAUGUGGGGUUGCACAGACAACUAGGAUGUUGGCUUAGAAGCAGCCACCAUUUAAAGAGUGCGUAAUAGCUCACUAGUCGAGUGACCCUGCGCCGAAAAUGUACCGGGGCUAAACAUAUUACCGAAGCUGUGGAGUACACCUUUAGGUGUAUUGGUAGGAGAGCGUUCUAAGGGCGUCGAAGGCAGAUCGUGAGGACUGCUGGAGCGCUUAGAAGUGAGAAUGCCGGUAUGAGUAGCGAAAGACAGGUGAGAAUCCUGUCCACCGAAUGACUAAGGUUUCCUGGGGAAGGCUCGUCCGCCCAGGGUUAGUCGGGACCUAAGCCGAGGCCGAUAGGC